rnacentral:rRNA from 1 species
GACGAACGCUGGCGGCGUGCUUAACACAUGCAAGUCGAACGGAAAGGCCCUGCUUUUGUGGGGUGCUCGAGUGGCGAACGGGUGAGUAACACGUGAGUAUCCUGCCCUUGACUUUGGGAUAACUUCAGGAAACUGGGGCUAAUACCGGAUAGGAGCUCCUGAUGCAUGGUGGGGGUUGGAAAGUUUCGGCGGUUGGGGCUGGACUCGCGGCUUAUCAGCUGGUUGGUGGGGUAGUGGCUUACCAAGGCUUUGACGGGUAGCCGGCCUGAGAGGGGGACCGGCCACAUUGGUACUGAGAUACGGACCAGACUCCUACGGGAGGCAGCAGUGGGGAAUAUGGCACAAUGGGGGGAAGCCUGAUGCAGCAACCCCGGGUGCGGGAAGACGGCCUUCGGGUGGUAAACCGCUUUCGCCUGUGACGAAGCGGGAGUGACGGUAAUGAGUAAAGAAGCACCGGCUAACUACGUG